rnacentral:rRNA from 1 species
AGCGUACACGGUGGAUGCCCUGGCAGUCAGAGGCGAUGAAGGACGUGCUAAUCUGCGAUAAGCGUCGGUAAGGUGAUAUGAACCGUUAUAACCGGCGAUUUCCGAAUGGGGAAACCCAGUGUGUUUCGACACACUAUCAUUAACUGAAUCCAUAGGUUAAUGAGGCGAACCGGGGGAACUGAAACAUCUAAGUACCCCGAGGAAAAGAAAUCAACCGAGAUUCCCCCAGUAGCGGCGAGCGAACGGGGAGCAGCCCAGAGCCUGAAUCAGUGUGUGUGUUAGUGGAAGCGUCUGGAAAGGCGCGCGAUACAGGGUGACAGCCCCGUACACAAAAAUGCACAUGCUGUGAGCUCGAUGAGUAGGGCGGGACACGUGGUAUCCUGUCUGAAUAUGGGGGGACCAUCCUCCAAGGCUAAAUACUCCUGACUGACCGAUAGUGAACCAGUACCGUGAGGGAAAGGCGAAAAGAACCCCGGCGAGGGGAGUGAAAAAGAACCUGAAACCGUGUACGUACAAGCAGUGGGAGCACGCUUAGGCGUGUGACUGCGUACCUUUUGUAUAAUGGGUCAGCGACUUAUAUUCUGUAGCAAGGUUAACCGAAUAGGGGAGCCGAAGGGAAACCGAGUCUUAACUGGGCGUUAAGUUGCAGGGUAUAGACCCGAAACCCGGUGAUCUAGCCAUGGGCAGGUUGAAGGUUGGGUAACACUAACUGGAGGACCGAACCGACUAAUGUUGAAAAAUUAGCGGAUGACUUGUGGCUGGGGGUGAAAGGCCAAUCAAACCCGGAGAUAGCUGGUUCUCCCCGAAAGCUAUUUAGGUAGCGCCUCGUGAAUUCAUCUCCGGGGGUAGAGCACUGUUUCGGCAAGGGGGUCAUCCCGACUUACCAACCCGAUGCAAACUGCGAAUACCGGAGAAUGUUAUCACGGGAGACACACGGCGGGUGCUAACGUCCGUCGUGAAGAGGGAAACAACCCAGACCGCCAGCUAAGGUCCCAAAGUCAUGGUUAAGUGGGAAACGAUGUGGGAAGGCCCAGACAGCCAGGAUGUUGGCUUAGAAGCAGCCAUCAUUUAAAGAAAGCGUAAUAGCUCACUGGUCGAGUCGGCCUGCGCGGAAGAUGUAACGGGGCUAAACCAUGCACCGAAGCUGCGGCAGCGACGCUUAUGCGUUGUUGGGUAGGGGAGCGUUCUGUAAGCCUGUGAAGGUGUGCUGUGAGGCAUGCUGGAGGUAUCAGAAGUGCGAAUGCUGACAUAAGUAACGAUAAAGCGGGUGAAAAGCCCGCUCGCCGGAAGACCAAGGGUUCCUGUCCAACGUUAAUCGGGGCAGGGUGAGUCGACCCCUAAGGCGAGGCCGAAAGGCGUAGUCGAUGGGAAACAGGUUAAUAUUCCUGUACUUGGUGUUACUGCGAAGGGGGGACGGAGAAGGCUAUGUUGGCCGGGCGACGGUUGUCCCGGUUUAAGCGUGUAGGCUGGUUUUCCAGGCAAAUCCGGAAAAUCAAGGCUGAGGCGUGAUGACGAGGCACUACGGUGCUGAAGCAACAAAUGCCCUGCUUCCAGGAAAAGCCUCUAAGCAUCAGGUAACAUCAAAUCGUACCCCAAACCGACACAGGUGGUCAGGUAGAGAAUACCAAGGCGCUUGAGAGAACUCGGGUGAAGGAACUAGGCAAAAUGGUGCCGUAACUUCGGGAGAAGGCACGCUGAUAUGUAGGUGAAGUCCCUUGCGGAUGGAGCUGAAAUCAGUCGAAGAUACCAGCUGGCUGCAACUGUUUAUUAAAAACACAGCACUGUGCAAACACGAAAGUGGACGUAUACGGUGUGACGCCUGCCCGGUGCCGGAAGGUUAAUUGAUGGGGUUAGCGGUAACGCGAAGCUCUUGAUCGAAGCCCCGGUAAACGGCGGCCGUAACUAUAACGGUCCUAAGGUAGCGAAAUUCCUUGUCGGGUAAGUUCCGACCUGCACGAAUGGCGUAAUGAUGGCCAGGCUGUCUCCACCCGAGACUCAGUGAAAUUGAACUCGCUGUGAAGAUGCAGUGUACCCGCGGCAAGACGGAAAGACCCCGUGAACCUUUACUAUAGCUUGACACUGAACAUUGAGCCUUGAUGUGUAGGAUAGGUGGGAGGCUUUGAAGUGUGGACGCCAGUCUGCAUGGAGCCGACCUUGAAAUACCACCCUUUAAUGUUUGAUGUUCUAACGUUGACCCGUAAUCCGGGUUGCGGACAGUGUCUGGUGGGUAGUUUGACUGGGGCGGUCUCCUCCUAAAGAGUAACGGAGGAGCACGAAGGUUGGCUAAUCCUGGUCGGACAUCAGGAGGUUAGUGCAAUGGCAUAAGCCAGCUUGACUGCGAGCGUGACGGCGCGAGCAGGUGCGAAAGCAGGUCAUAGUGAUCCGGUGGUUCUGAAUGGAAGGGCCAUCGCUCAACGGAUAAAAGGUACUCCGGGGAUAACAGGCUGAUACCGCCCAAGAGUUCAUAUCGACGGCGGUGUUUGGCACCUCGAUGUCGGCUCAUCACAUCCUGGGGCUGAAGUAGGUCCCAAGGGUAUGGCUGUUCGCCAUUUAAAGUGGUACGCGAGCUGGGUUUAGAACGUCGUGAGACAGUUCGGUCCCUAUCUGCCGUGGGCGCUGGAGAACUGAGGGGGGCUGCUCCUAGUACGAGAGGACCGGAGUGGACGCAUCACUGGUGUUCGGGUUGUCAUGCCAAUGGCACUGCCCGGUAGCUAAAUGCGGAAGAGAUAAGUGCUGAAAGCAUCUAAGCACGAAACUUGCCCCGAGAUGAGUUCU